CAGUAACGGCGAGUGAAGCGGUAACAGCUCAAAUUUGAAAUCUGGCUCUUUCAGGGUCCGAGUUGUAAUUUGUAGAAGAUGCUUUGGGUGUGGCCCUGGUCUAAGUUCCUUGGAACAGGACGUCAUAGAGGGUGAGAAUCCCGUAUGUGACUAGGUGCUUUCGCCCGUGUAAAGCUCUUUCGACGAGUCGAGUUGUUUGGGAAUGCAGCUCAAAAUGGGUGGUAAAUUUCAUCUAAAGCUAAAUAUUGGCCAGAGACCGAUAGCGCACAAGUAGAGUGAUCGAAAGAUGAAAAGCACUUUGGAAAGAGAGUUAAACAGUACGUGAAAUUGUUGAAAGGGAAGCGCUUGCAACCAGACUUAGUUGCGGCCGAUCAUCUAGGGUUCUCCCUGGUGCACUCGGUCGUAUCUAGGCCAGCAUCGGUUUGGGUGGUGGGAUAAAGGCCUUGGGAAUGUAGCUUCUUUCGGGGAGUGUUAUAGCCCUCGGUGCAAUGCCGCCUACCUGGACCGAGGACCGCGCUUCGGCU
rnacentral:rRNA from 1 species